UACGUAGGGUGCAAGCGUUAAUCGGAAUUACUGGGCGUAAAGCGUGCGCAGGCGGUCGUGCAAGACAGAUGUGAAAUCCCCGGGCUUAACCUGGGAACUGCAUUUGUGACUGCACGACUGGAGUGCGGCAGAGGGGGAUGGAAUUCCGCGUGUAGCAGUGAAAUGCGUAGAUAUGCGGAGGAACACCGAUGGCGAAGGCAAUCCCCUGGGCCUGCACUGACGCUCAUGCACGAAAGCGUGGGGAGCAAACAGG
rnacentral:rRNA from 1 species